rnacentral:snRNA from 1 species
AUCGCUUCUCGGCCUUUUGGCUAAGAUCAAGUACAGUAUCUGUUCUUAUCAGUUUAAUAUCUAAUGCAUCCUCUAACCUAGGACAAUAUAUUAACUGGAUUUUUGGAGCAGGGAGAUGGAAUAGGAACUUGCUCCAUCCGCUCCACACAUCAACCUGGUAUCGCAGGAAAUGUUAAAGUGCGGCAAAUACC